CGGGGCUGUUACAUUCUCUCAGUGCGCUCCACGACGCCGAACUGACCACGUACAACGGCACCGUCUCGACCCUACGAGUCUCCCCCUCUCCCCCUCUCUCUUUUCUCUCUCUCUCUCUUUUUUCUCUUUUUCUCUUCCUUUCUUCCUUCCGAGACACGCGAUCGGAAUAUCCUCGUGCGAGUUCCAUUCAACCUCCGCGAAGCACUCGCGAACGGGAGGGAACUUUGUCGAAAGUUAACAAGUGCCGAAUGGGAUAGGAGAACGGGUGAUAGAGAAGGGGAAAAUUCGUGGUAGUGUCGUGUCGCGAGGUGAAACGGGAUCGAGAAGGUAACGGGAUCGAUUAAUUGGCGAACGAGCAGCGACGUGAACUCGAGAGCAUCCUUGAAAAGUGUCGAGGUAGAAGGAUUAAAGGGUGGGAAGACGCGGCUAUCGGGAGGAUAAAUCGAGAAUCGAGAUUGGUGGUUUUCACGUGGCAAAUCAUUAUAACGUUUGUUUGUUGCGGCUGGAGAUAACAUUUUCCGAUUAAAUAUCAGCAAGGAGCUACCUGGAUCAGACGCAAUCGUGAUUUGCCUCGAAAUUAUUAUUCGCCUCCGAAGAAGACACCCUGGAGCUUCGUGUCGACCGUCAUCGCUCGUCAGCCACUAAUUCCAGAUUAGCAAAGCAAAGGAGCAUUCGCAGACGCGCAAAAACAACGAGAGGGAGAUGAAGGGCCGACCUUGAAGGGCACGUCGGGGCCUGUGAAGGAGGCGAACGGAGACGAACCGAGCUGCCGGGAGGGUCGUCAGCCCCUCUUUAAAAAAAAGGGGUCGAGGCCUGGCACCAGAUCAAAAGCUCGGUCACAAUAGGUUGCCUGCAAAGCUCUGGUUCCAGGGGGUCGG